rnacentral:rRNA from 1 species
UACGAAGGGGGCUAGCGUUGUUCGGAAUUACUGGGCGUAAAGGGCGCGUAGGCGGCGCUCCAAGUUAGGCGUGGAAGUCCUGGGCUCAACCUGGGAACUGCGCUUAAGACUGGAGUGCUUGAGGAUGGAAGAGGGUUGUAGAAUUCCCAGUGUAGAGGUGAAAUUCGUAGAUAUUGGGAAGAACACCGGUGGCGAAGGCGGCAACCUGGUCCAUUACUGACGCUGAGGUGCGAAAGCGUGGGGAGCAAACAGG